GAUGAACGCUGGCGGCGUGCCUAAUACAUGCCAGUCGAGCGAACAGACGAGGAGCUUGCUCCUCUGACGUUAGCGGCGGACGGGUGAGUAACACGUGGAUAACCUACCUAUAAGACUGGGAUAACUUCGGGAAACCGGAGCUAAUACCGGAUAAUAUAUUGAACCGCAUGGUUCAAUAGUGAAAGCCGGUUUUGCUGUCACUUAUAGAUGGAUCCGCGCCGCAUUAGCUAGUUGGUAAGGUAACGGCUUACCAAGGCGACGAUGCGUAGCCGACCUGGGAGGGUGAUCGGCCACACUGGAACUGAGACACGGUCCAGACUCCUACGGGAGGCAGCAGUAGGGAAUCUUCCGCAAUGGGCGAAAGCCUGACGGAGCAACGCCGCGUGAGUGAUGAAGGUCUUCGGAUCGUAAAACUCUGUUAUUAGGGAAGAACAAAUGUGUAAGUAACUAUGCACGUCUUGACGGUACCUAAUCAGAAAGCCACGGCUAACUACGUG
rnacentral:rRNA from 1 species